rnacentral:rRNA from 1 species
UACGGGGGGAGCAAGCGUUGUUCGGAUUUACUGGGCGUAAAGGGCGCGUAGGCGGCCACCGCAAGUCGACUGUGAAAUCUCCGGGCUUAACCCGGAAAGGUCAGCCGAUACUGCGGGGCUAGAGUGCAGAAGGGGCAACUGGAAUUCUUGGUGUAGCGGUGAAAUGCGUAGAUAUCAAGAGGAACACCUGAGGUGAAGACGGGUUGCUAGGCUGACACUGACGCUGAGGCGCGAAAGCCAGGGGAGCAAACGGG